AUUGAACGCUGGCGGCAGGCCUAACACAUGCAAGUCGAGCGCGCGGCGGACGGGUGAGUAAUGUAUGGGGACUGCCCGAUAGAGGGGGAUAACUAUUGGAAACGGUGGCUAAUACCGCACACUGUCGGAUAACCCAUAUGGGAGUAGCUAGGAGGUAAGGGAAUGGCUUACCUAGGCGACGCUCCCUCGCUGGUCUGAGAGGAUGAUCAGCCACACUGGGACUGAGACACGGCCCAGACUCCUACGGAGGCAGCAGUGGGGAAUAUUGCGCAAUGGGCGCAAGCCUGAUGCAGCCAUGCUGCGUGUAUGAAGAAGGCCCUAGGGUUGUAAAGUACUUUCAGUCGGGAGGCGUUACCGACAGAAGAAGCACCGGCUAACUCCGUGCCAGCAGCCGCGGUAAUAC
rnacentral:rRNA from 1 species